CUUCAACUAAGCAGGAGAAAUUUGUGUGCCACCUGGACUGCACGAUGUACAACAAAGAUAAAAUUAUUGUUAAGGUUUUAGGCAGGGACAUUAUUGUUGAG